GAAUCUCAUGUGUGCAGAAAUAUCUGUAGAUCAGUAAGAACGCUUCUUAUAUCGGCAGCUCGAACUUAGCACCUCUACUGGUGAUUUGUGGUAUUCGAUUGUCGAGAUGGGAUCUGCUUAAUCGAUUGAGCAUGAUAUUGACGUUUAAAAUAAAAACUGAAAAUGGUUUAGUGUCUUUUCUUUGGCAAAAUAUGUAUGUACCAUUUUCUUAUGUCAUCGAUGCAUUUUUAAAUACAUUUGGUUAAAUAUACUGUGAUUGAUUUUUUCAAAAAGUGAAUAAGUUUUCUCUUAUUCUUCUAAGAAAAGUUCGCGAUGUCAGCAGUGACGUUAUCUCAGGAGACUUUGUCUGUGUGUUUAUGGAAAGAAUACGCAGCGACUAACAAGCAAAUGCACGUGUGACGACUCGAUUUCGCUUUUGGCGUAUUUCGUUGCAAGAAUAGUGCUCGAUACUCUCUACGCAAUUAAAUCUCUGAAGAUUAUACCUGAUUGAUAACUUAUCGUUAAUCGUCUAUUCGUGAGUAUAUACAGCGUCCAUUAUCAUGUCAAAAUUGAUUGAUGAGAAAAAUUAAGAAAAAUUAGUCAAUAAGAAGUAUUGAUAGAUCAUGCACGUUAAGUGAAACAGGCAAACAGAAUAAUAAAAAAAUGUUCCGAGUAUGUGUUUUUAAAUUCGCUGACUAGUAAUCGCUAUUAUUAGUUCCUACUAAAAUAGCUGCUUUUUUAUCCGCGUUAUAUAUGCAGAUAAGAUAAAGGAGAAUAUUUCAACCGUUUGUAUCGGUGGAAAAUCGCCUUGUCAAUUUCUAAUUGCGCAUAUGUUAAUAUCAAGAACGCUUCACGAUAUAUGCAUAUCUUGUACGACAGAUGCGUUCUUCUCGUCUUUUUUACAAGGAAGAUCGAUGCGUGAUUUGUUAACCUCGAAAACGCCACGAACAAGGCUUAACCUACAUGUUAACCGAGAAAAUCAAGCGAACGUGAAACAGGCAAAACAACGAUUCUCCGUGUAUUCUUUGAGCACAUGUGAGGCAGAUUGCUCCCGCGGCACCGAUUUACGAAACGGCAAUGACAUUCCAUGGCGUCGUAAUUUUUCCAAUCGGGUAACGUUUCAAAUGUAGCCGCUAAGUCGAGGCCUUGGCUAUAGGCAGAAGUUAGCUCAAGGACGACGACCGCCUGUCUAUUCGAAUUUCAUCAUGGUGUGAAGCUAAGCAGGUGAAUGUCAGCCCCUUACGCCUCAUGCCCGUAAUGAGACAUAUCUUUCAGGUAUAACGCUGUGCUCAGUAGAUGGACCUGAUUUAGUUAAAAAUAAUGAUUAUGUAAAAUGUUAUCAACGAACAUAAAAAAUAGUAAGUAAAUAUGUAGGCUGGUAGAUAGUCUUUAAUUAAAGCUUUUAAUAUUCUGUAUUGUCAUGAUGGAGAUAAUUAGAGUGCAGACGCUUAUGGAUUGGAAAAUUGAAAGAUAAUUGAAAAUGUAAAAUAUCCAAAAAAGCUCGUGUAAUAUUUAGAGGAUUUUAGUUGAAUUUAUAAAUUUCAAAUCCAUUGAAAUCCCCUUAUUUUAUUAUUAAUUAGUAAUCCAUUAUUAUUAAAUAAUAGUAGUAAAUUCAUUUGAAGAAGACAUCUUUAUUUUAAUUUCCUAAAUCUCUCAUCACACCAUCUCAUUUACGUGUAUCAUGCACAAAUGCGAAAUUAUCGCAUGUCGAAUUAGGAUAAUCCCUUCCUUACUAUACACAUUAUAUACACAUUAGAUGUUUAGAUGCGAAGGAAGAAAUUGUGUAUCCAUCCUUUUGAUCUGGCUGACACCUUGUGUCGCAGUUCACGGUUGAUUAUACAUAAGGCUAAUGACAAGGUAGAGAAUAAGAGACUAGUAACUGAUCCAGCUUCCUCGUUUAUCUUGGGCACUAAGUUAUACAGGUGGCACCUGCAUGCUUCAAAGCGGAGGAAACCGCAGGUCGUGGAACGUCUAGCCAUCCAGAGGGAGCAGGUUAAGGCGCGAAUAUCCGACAUAUCAGUUUGGUGAGUCAUGCGUCUUGUUCGAUAUGUUCCGGCUACCCCGUUCACCGCCUACACGACCCGCCAUAUGAGUCAUCGACGAUUCUUGGAAACGAAGCGUGCCGCUCGUUUGAAAUUUUCGUCGCCAAGUGACGCUACUGCAUACUUUGGAAACAGUACCGACAAAAUCAACAUUCUAUAGAUUCUGGCAUUCGGUACUCGGUACUAUUCCGUUUGCUUGGAAAAUUCCGCUCCAAUGGCACUAUCAAUUGCGCAAUAUCAUCCACACGUAUUGCCAAUAACAGAAGAUAAGCAUCAGAAUGACAUUGCAACAGUAUCGCAAGUCAGUCAGGGAUGAAACAAUUGCAGAAUAAUUAUCGUAUGAAGGGUACAGGGAUGAUAGUAAGCGUUGUUAGUUAAACACGUUUUGUACGUCGUUUAAAAGAUUCCUAAAAUAUGACUAAACGAUAAGAUUGGAAGAAAUCUUAGUAAUGUUCUAUCUCCACAUUCUUGAAUAUCAAUUAUAUUUAUCUUUCUGAUAAAUAUUUGUAAGAUUGAAGUUUUCAAUAUCAGAUGAAAAUUUUGUAGUGUAAUUUUCUAAUGUUUUAUUUAGGUAAAUGAUUCGUUAUCUUAUACCAAUUAGCAUGUAGAUUAGUGGAAUCUUAACUGACCAUCCUUAUCUGACCCACCAAUCCAUAAAAUGAAUUCCUUGAAACGAGGUUUUAAAUCUUCUUGCACAAUUGAGUUAAUAUUAUUACUAAAAUUUUACGUCAUAAAUUUGGUAAGGGUAAAAAUGAAGUUUAGUAAAUGAAUUUUACAAGCUACAAAU